AUUGAACGCUGGCGGCAUGCUUUACACAUGCAAGUCGAACGGUAACAGGCCGCAAGGUGCUGACGAGUGGCGGACGGGUGAGUAAUGCAUCGGAACGUGCCCAAUCGUGGGGGAUAACUACUCGAAAGAGUAGCUAAUACCGCAUACGAUCUAUGGAUGAAAGCGGGGGACCGUAAGGCCUCGCGCGAUUGGAGCGGCCGAUGUCAGAUUAGGUAGUUGGUGGGGUAAAGGCUCACCAAGCCAACGAUCUGUAGCUGGUCUGAGAGGACGACCAGCCACACUGGGACUGAGACACGGCCCAGACUCCUACGGGAGGCAGCAGUGGGGAAUUUUGGACAAUGGGCGCAAGCCUGAUCCAGCAAUGCCGCGUGCAGGAAGAAGGCCUUCGGGUUGUAAACUGCUUUUGUACGGAACGAAACGGCUCUGGUUAAUACCCGGGGCUAAUGACGGUACCGUAAGAAUAAGCACCGGCUAACUACGUG
rnacentral:rRNA from 1 species